rnacentral:rRNA from 1 species
GACGAACGCUGGCGGCGUGCCUAAUACAUGCAAGUUGAGCGCUGAAGGUUGGUACUUGUACCAACUGGAUGAGCAGCGAACGGGUGAGUAACGCGUGGGGAAUCUGCCUUUGAGCGGGGGACAACAUUUGGAAACGAAUGCUAAUACCGCAUAAAAACUUUAAACACAAGUUUUAAGUUCGAAAGAUGCAAUUGCAUCACUCAAAGAUGAUCCCGCGUUGUAUUAGCUAGUUGGUGAGGUAAAGGCUCACCAAGGCGAUGAUACAUAGCCGACCUGAGAGGGUGAUCGGCCACAUUGGGACUGAGACACGGCCCAAACUCCUACGGGAGGCAGCAGUAGGGAAUCUUCGGCAAUGGACGAAAGUCUGACCGAGCAACGCCGCGUGAGUGAAGAAGGUUUUCGGAUCGUAAAACUCUGUUGGUAGAGAAGAACGUUGGUGAGAGUGGAAAGCUCAUCAAGUGACGGUAACUACCCAGAAAGGGACGGCUAACUACGUG